AAUUGCCUCGAAGCUCGUGUACGAGUGCAUGUACAAACCCAUGUUCGGCAGGGGUACCCCCGACGAGGCUGUCGUUGCUCAGCUUGAAGAAGAUCUUUGCAAGGUGUUGGAUGUGUACGAAGCUAGACUAGGCGAGUGUGCUUAUUUGAGCGGUGACGAUUUCGGCCUCCCUGACCUUCACCAUCUACCGACGAUUAACUGCAUCAUGAAGAUUGAUUCCAAGAAGAUCAUUGAGGCUCGCCCAAAUGUCAGCAAGUGGGCUGCUACCAUUCUAGCUCGUCCUUCUUGGACAAAGGUUUUGGCCCAGAAUUAAUUCACGCAACUUCAAAGUCAAAACAUAUCAGUUUGGUCGGUAAUUAGUAGUAAAUAAGUUCCGACGU
rnacentral:lncRNA from 1 species